rnacentral:misc_RNA from 1 species
GAAACCAACCCACGAAAAACCCUCCUAAACCCACCACCGCCACUGCUCUCCCUCCUUCUACUUGUUCUACUCACCCACGAAACCCGCCUAGGAGCGCCACCACUCCCACUAAACCCACCAUCCAUCUCUGUAAACACGCCCGGAAACUCUCUCUCCCCUCCCCUCCUUCCCCCACUGAAUCUUCCCACUGCAAAUCCACCUCCUGGCAGCCUCCAUAUAGUCAACCCCACAAUUUCUUCCGAUUCCUCUGAAUUCUCGCUUUCUUGCUGAUCCGCAGGUAGCUCCUGGCGGCAAACGGGGCACGAAUUCCUCAUUGCGAGCCAAGGGAGUAUGCAAUCAGAGUGGUAAAUAUGUUUGCACGGCAUCUCGCGUGCUUCACCGCCAAGUUCGAACGCUUCCUUGCACACUGCGCAGUGUGCAUCCGCAAAUACGUGGGUUUCGGUUAUUUCAACGGUGGGCAUCGACUCCACCACAGCUUUCGAUGCCGGUGGGUUUCCUACCCGUCCGAAACCAUUCACUUCAAUCUGCGCUAACUGGUCUAGCAACCUGUCAAACCCUGAUCCCAUAAAAAACUCAGACAUAUUGGCCGGCACGGGUCUAAGGCCCGACCCUGUUCCAUCAUCGUAGUAGAACUCGUAGCUGCUUCCUUCCUCGUUCUCUUCGGGGGCGGUGCCACGCAAGACAAUAACCGGGUUAAACGGAGAACGAUUGUCUGCGUUGCGUCGAUUCCGGCGAAAUCUCAAUGCGGGAAUCCGACCCGAGUCGUGACGGUUUCUACCGUUGUUAUCCGAUAACAUGUACAUAAAUCGACGGUGGUGAUUGUCCGAUUGCGAAUUGGUUUCGAUCUCUUCGAUAAAUCCACCGUCGCCAGUGAGGACAAGUGACGUCGUUGUUCUCCGCAGAGACCAAAACAGUGAUGAAGCGCGUGCAUCUAUAACACCAAUACGACGACGUCGUCGACAUGACUGAAAAGCUUCAGAUCCGUGGCGCGCGCAAGAGAGAGAGAGAGAGAGAGAGAGAG